GGGGCUAGGGUCAGUUUGUUAUAUCUGGAGUACUUCUCCUGUCCUAUUCGGUGUCCUGUGUGAAUCUAAGUGUGCGUUCUCUAAUUCUCUCCUUCUCUCUUUCUUUCUCUCUCUCGGAGGACCUGAGCCCUAGGACCAUGCCCCAGGACUACCUGACAUGAUGACUCCUUGCUGUCCCCAGUCCACCUGGCCGUGCUGCUGCUCCAGUUUCAACUGUUCUGCCUUAUUAUUAUUAUUCGACCAUGCUGGUCAUUUAUGAACAUUUGAACAUCUUGGCCAUGUUCUGUUAUAAUCUCCACCCGGCACAGCCAGAAGAGGACUGGCCACCCCACAUAUGCUCUCUCUAAUUCUCUCUUUCUUUCUCUCUCUCGGAGGACCUGAGCCCUAGGACCAUGCCCCAGGACUACCUGACAUGAUGACUCCUUGCUGUCCCCAGUCCACCUGACCGUGCUGCUGCUCCAGUUUCAACUGUUCUGCCUUAUUAUUAUUCGACCAUGCUGGUCAUUUAUGAACAUUUGAACAUCUUGGUCAUGUUCUGUUAUAAUCUUCAUCCGGCACAGCCAGAGGACUGGCCACCCCACAUAGCCUGGUUCCUCUCUAGGUUUCUUCCUAGGUUUUGGCCUUUCUAGGGAGUUUUUCCUAGCCACCGUGCUUCUACACCUGCAUUUGCUUGCUGUUUGGGGUUUUAGGCUGGGUUUCUGUACAGCACUUUGAGAUAUCAGCUGAUGUACGAAGGGCUAUAUGAAUAAAUGUGAUUUGAUUUGAUUUGAUGUAAGUAGAAAUAUAGCUUUAGUCCCUCCAUUCUCGAGAGUCAGAAGUUGAUGCCUAUUUCUCUGCGUUUGAGCGUGUGGCCGCUGCACUGCAUUGGUCACUCGUUGGUUUGGCCGCCCCUGUUGCAAUGUAAAUUGUCUGGGAAAGUCCAGGAAGUAGUAGCUGCUCUCUCCCUGGAAGACGGGCUUAUGUGUUGCGGGCUUAUGAGUUGGUGGCUGAAGCUUAUAGGCAGGGCUUCAGGAACCACAAGAAAACAUCUCACCGUACUUUUGUUGAGUUUGCAAGGGACAAAGAGUCUCUGUUUAAUCGCUGGUGUUCAGCCAGCAAAGCUAACACCUUUUCUGAUAUUCGGGAGUUGAUGCUGUUGGAGGACUUUAAAAGCAACCUCCCAGGUAGAAUUGUAGUUCAUUUAAAUGAACAGAAAGUGGCGACAUUGGCCCAAGCAGCAGUGUUGGCAGAUGAGUAUGCUUUGACACACAAGACUGUCUUUGGUGUGCCUCGUUUUGAAGGCCAGACGAUUACGUCAUCAGUUCCUCGUUCAGGUCGCUUUUCCUCUGACAACCCUAAGCCUUUCCAUGAAAUCCGUGAAUGUUUUUACUGUCACCAAAAGGGUCACGUGACUGCGGACUGCCCAGCUUUGAAAAAUAAACCGAAAAAGUCCCAGUCACCGUCCCCAAAAAUGAAAAGUUUGAGUUUAGUCAAGUCUUUGGCUCAUCCAUUGGAUUGAGUUAUUGAUUCAGCAUUUGAGAAACCGGAUCCUGUCUAUUCUCCAUUUAUCUCUGCCGGUUGUGUUUCCUUAACAGGAGAACAAGCUGAUCAAAAGCCUAUCCAAAUCUUACGAGACACCACAGACAGUAAUCGUUACUGAUGCUUUACCCUGGUCUCCUGAAACGUAUUGUGGCUUGCAUGUCAUAUUACAGGGGAUAGAGACAAAAACCGUACCUGUACCAUUACACUGGGUCCACUUAGUGUCAGACUUGGUAUCAGGACGUCUCCGUGUUGGUGUAGUGUCUACACUGCAAGUAAAAGGAGUCACAUUGCUACUAGGGAAUGAUAUUGCUGGUGGUAACGUCAUCUCUGUGUUAGAGGUAGUAGACAACCCAGAUAUCAGAAUUGCAGAUGAGAAAUUGGUUCAAGCAUUUCCACAUGUUUUUCCUGCUUGUGUGUUAACGAGGGCACAAUCUCGCAAGCUAAGAGAUGUGGUGGAUUUGGCUAGUUCCAUUUUUGAGAAUGUUGAGGUAGAAGACAAUGCACAUAGUAUUCCUCCUGCAAGACCAACAGUUUUUAGCCCCGUAAAAACUAAGGCAGGGGAAGGCGAAAUCGCGCCCCAAUUACAUGACAUUCUUUUGUCUGUCACCCCGAGAAGGUGAUUGAAUGUCAAAAGGGAGACACCAGUCUUUGAAGUGUUUUGCUUCGGUAAUUUCCAUUGAGGAAGCUAAAACUAAGGAGACUGCCUACUUUAUGGAAGCAGGAGUUUUGAUGCGGAAAUGGGCAGCUCAUGACACCGUUAAUGACUGGAGUGAAGUGUGUCAAGUGGUUGUUCCUACACCGUUCCGACAGCAGGUGCUGUCACUCGCCCAUGACCAGGCGUGGUCCGGACAUUUGGGGAUCACCAAGACUUAUAACUGAGUCCUUCGUCAUUUUUUCUGGACGGGUUUGAAGUCUGACGUUGUCCAAUUUUGUAAAACAUGUCAACUCACUGGGAAAGCGAAUCAAACAGUUCCUCGAGCGCCGCUCUGCCCGAUUCCUGUAGUGGGGGAACCAUUUGAAAGAGUGAUAAUUGAUUGUGUAGGUCCAUUGUCGAAAACCAGGUCAGGUAACCAGUUCUUACUAACAAUAAUGUGCAGUGCUACUCGAUACCCAGAGGCUAUUCAUAUUCCCUACUAUAAUGGCUAAGACUGUGGUGAAGGCACUAGUGAAGUUCUUCUCUCCGUUUGGACUCCCUAAAGUAAUCCAAACUGAUCAGGGAUCCAACCUUAUGUCCAAACUGUUUUCAAAUGUGUCAAAGACGCUGUGUAUUUCCCAUCAGGUCUCCAGUUCGUAUCAUCCAGAGAGUCAAGGGGCUCUCGAACGCUGGCAUCAGACACUGAAGGCAAUGCUACGCAAGUAUUGCAUGGAUACCAGUACUGAUUGGGAUGAGGGGGUGCCCUUUGUCCUAUUUGCUAUAAGGGAAACGAUACACGAGUCCUUAGGGUUCAGCCUUGCUGACCUUGUGUCCGCUGACACGGGGUUCGCUGAAAGUUUUGAAGGAGCAUAUCCUAUCUCCUACACCCAGUAGAGACCCUAAAAAUGUUUUGGAUUAUGUCAGUAAGAUGCGGGAGAGACUGCACGCCGCCUGUGCGUUAGCCCAAAAGUAACCCCAGUUACACCAAUUAUGUGAUAAAGACACCAGAUCGAAGGCGUUCUUCCUGUGUGUGUCAUGUUAACAUGCUGAAAGCAUAUUAUGUGCGUGAUUCUCCAAACAGUUCCUCAGGUAAGCCGGUCCAGCCCGCCGUCUCCAGUGUACCUGCGGUGGUGCUGAAGCCUGGCUGGGAACUAGAGGAGGAUAAGGAAGACAGGACGUUCCAAGUCGCACGUCCAUCUUGGAACAUGACGUGGAUGUGGGCAACGGUAUUCCUAUACGUCAGCAUCCGUACCGAGUUAAUGCAAAGAAAAGGGAGGUAAUGAAAAGGGAGGUAGCUCAUUUAUUACAGAAUGACAUGGCAAAACCCAGUAACAGCUCCUGGAGUUCCCCAUGUAUUCUUGUUCCUAAGCCUGACGGUACGUCCCGCUUAUGUACGAACUAUCGUCGAGUAAAUGAAGUUACAAAGUCUGAUUCUUUUCCUCUACCUCGCUUAGAUGACUGCAUUGAUAGACUUGGCUUUGCUGCUUACGUUAGUGAGUUAGAUUUGCUAAAAGGUUAUUGGCAGGUGCCUCUGACCUCUCGAGAUUCUGACAUAUCGGCUUUCGUUACGCCUGAUAACUUUAUACAAUACACUGUGAUGCCCUUUGGCAUGUGUAAUGCACCUGCUACUUUUCAACGGCUAGUUAACAUUGUGUUUGCAGAUGUGGUGAUACAUUCGUCUACUUGAUCUGAUCAUCUCUCCACUUUGAGAAGUGUGUGUCAGCGGUUGGAGAAUGCUUCUUUAACCCUCAAUUUGGCCAAGUGUGAGUUUGGGAAGGCUACUCUGACUUACUUAAGGAAACAAGUGGGACAAGGUCAAGUGCACCCAGUAACUGGAAAAGUGGAAGCAAUUGUUGCUUUUCCUGCUCCCACGACUCGCCGCCAGCUGCGCAGAUUCCUGGGGAUGGUAGGGUACUAUCGUACGUUCUGUAAGAAUUUCUCAACGGUAGUAGCUCCCCUUUCAUCUCUGCUUAGUCCCAAGGUACCAUUUAAGUGGUCCAAGGACUGUAACUAUGCUUUUGAGUCUGCUAAAGCACUACUUUGUAGUGCCCCAGUGCUUGCCACGCCCAACUUUGACAAACCUUUUAAUUUGGAGGUAGACGCUAGUAUAGUGGGGGUGGGUGCGGUUCUCUUACAGGAAGAUGAAGACGGAGUGGAUCGGCCCGUCAGUUUCUUCUCCCGUAAGUUCAACUCGUGUCAGUCAAGGUACUCCACUAUUGAACAAGAGACGCUGACUUUAUUGCUUGCCUUACAGUUCUUCGAGGUAUAUGUGGGCUCCAGUGCCUUGCCUGUAAUGGUCUUCACGGCCCACAUAUACCUCUAAUAUGCAUAUGGUGUUUUGAAUUAAUCCUCACCUUAGAAAACACUGUCCAUUUCAUUGUGUUAAGCUUUGAAACAACACCACAACAAUCAGGUUUUACACUGUUUCAAACGGCUGUUGAACUUAUUUCUUUAAAUUGAUCAUCACAGUGAGGUGAGUUUUAAAAUUAUGAUAGGCCUGGAGCCACAUAUACCAUAUUAGAGGUAUAUGUGGGCUCCAGUGCCUUGCCUGUAAUGGUCUUCACGGACCAUAAUCCAUUGGUGUUCUUGAAGCAAAUGUACAAUCAGAACCGCCGCCUUAUGCGGUGGGCUCUGAUUGUCCAAAGAUAUAAUGUACAGAUCGCUUAUGUGAAGGGCUCGGCGAAUGUGGUUGCCGAUGCUCUAUCACGGGUUUACUAACUGGGGAUGUGUUGGUUUUUGUUAUUACAAAUUGUAUGUUUGCAAUUUUUGUGGUGGGCAUGUUACGUUCCCCAGUUUCUGUGUUGUAGUUUGUGUAUUUGAGUGUGUGUUUCAGGAGAUGGCUUCCUGAAAUCCCCCAAGCAGCUGAUUGGUCGACUCCACGGCUAAUUGGAGCUGACCCCGCCCCCUCGUCAAGUUACAGCUGUAUCCCUUUAGACUCCUUCUCCAGUUAUAAAAGCCAGGGUUCUGUUGUUCAGGAGAGAGAUCAUUUCUGGGAGGUCAUUGCAGAAAGAUGAUUGCUGAGAGAUGAUUGCUGAGAGAUGACGUCGUUUUAGAGAAUUUGUCAGUACGUCCUACCGGCCUCAUAACCGCAGACCAUGUGUAACCACGCCAGCCCAGGACCUCCACAUCAGGAUUCUUCACCUGCGGGAUUGUUUGAGGAAGUGUUGAGAAGUAUUUCUGUCUGUAAUUUUGUGGGGAAAAUUCUGAUUUGCUGGGCCUGGCUCCGUAGUGGGUGGGCCUGGCUCCCAAGUCGGUGGGCGUAUGCCCUGCCAGGUCCACUCGUGGUUGCGCCCUUGUUAAGUCAUGUGAUAUCCAUAGAUUAGGGCCUAAUUAAUUUAUGUAAAUUGACUGAUUUCCUCAUGAACUGUAACUGAAAUUGUUGCAUGUUGCUUUUGUAUUUUUGUUCAGUAUUAUAUUCUUCUUACUAUAAAAUCAUAUAAAAGAAAAAUGAUGGUGCGGACAUAUAAGCAUAUCUUGUCAGCUAAAUGAACAAGCCUACAGCCUAUGUGUCACGCCCUGACCUUAGUUAUCUUUGUUUUCUUUAAUAUUUUGGCUAGGUCAGGGUGUGACGAGGGUGGUAUGUGUGUUUUCGCCUGUCUAGGUUUUUUUGUAAUUCUAUGGGGUUUUGGUAUGUCUAGGUAUAUGUAGGUCUAUGGUGGCCUGAAUUGGUUCCCAAUCAGAGAGAGCUGUUUAUCGUUGUCUCUGAUUGGGGAUACUAUUUAGGUUGCCAUUUUCCAUUUUGGUUUUGUGGGUUAUUGUCUAUGCGUAGUUGUCUGUCAGUACUCAUGUCGCAUAGCGUCACGGUCAUUUUGUAUAGUUUGUUCAGUGUUUAUUCUUCAUGAAAAGAAGUAUGUAUUCUUGUCACGCUGCGCCUUGGUUUCCUCGUUAUGACGAACGUGACAGAAUAACCCACCAAACCAGGACCAAGCAGCGUGAAAAGGAGGAACAGCGCUUAAUGGGGAAAUGGACCUGGGAGGAGAUAUUAGAUGGAGCAGGACCCUGGACACAGCCGGGGGAGUAUCACCGUUCCGCUUUCGCUGCCUCUAACUCCUCCUUAGGAUGGCGAUACUCCCCCUGGCUGAGUCAGGUAGGAGACCUGAGCCAGCUCCUCGUGCUUACUGUGGGGAGCGUGUUACUGGUCAAGCAUCGUGUUAUGCGGUGUCUCUAGUGCUAUUCUUUGUGUUGUGUCAGCUCUACACUCCAGACCUCCAGUACGCCUCCACAGUCCAGUACAUCCUGUUUAUCCUCCCCGGUACCACCAGUUCCGGCACCACGCACCAGGCCUCCCGUGCGCCUCCAGGGCCAGUACAUCCUGUUCCUGCUCCUCGCACUCACCCUGAGGUGCGUGUCCCCAGCCCGGUACCACCAGUUCCGGCACCACGCACCAGGCCUAUAGUGCGCCUUGGCAGUCCAGUACGCCCUGUUCCUGCUCCUCACACUCGCCCUGAGGUGCGUGUCCCAGCCCGGUACCACCAGUGCCGGCACCACGCACCAGGCCUACAGUGCGCCUCGGCAGUCCAGAGCGUCCGGCAAAGUACCCAGUCCAGAGCAUCCGGCGACAGUACCCAGUCCAGAGCGUCCAGCGACAGUACCCAGUCCAGAGCGUCCAGCGACAGUACCCAGUCCAGAGCGUCCGGCGACAGUACCCAGUCCAGAGCGUCCGGCGACGGUACCCAGUCCAGAAUCUCCAGCGACGGUCCCCAGUCCGGGGUCUCCAGCGACGGUUCCCAGUCCAGAAUCUCCAGCGACGGUCCCCAGUCCGGGGUCUCCAGCGACGGUCCCCAGUCCGGGGUCUCCAGCGACGGUACCCAGUCCAGAAUCUCCAGCGACGGUUCCCAGUCCAGAACAUCUGGCGAUGAUCGACAGGGCAAGAGUCCCCAGCCCGGGGCCUACGGCGAGGAUCCGCAGUCCAGAGCCUUCGACGAUGAUCCAGGGGUCAGUGCUACAAGAGCGGACUCAGGGUAAAGAAGGGGGGCGGCGUCCAGAACCAGAGCCGCCACCGAGGUUAGAUGCCCUCCCAGACCCUCCCAUAUAGGUUUAGGUUUGCGGCCGGGAGUCCGCACCUUUGUGGGGGGUACUGUCACGCCCUGACCUUAGUUAUCUUUGUUUUCUUUAUGAUUUUGGUUAGGUCAGGGUGUGACAAGGGUGGUAUGUGUUUUUGUCUUGUCUAGGGUUUUUUGUAAUUCUAUGGGGUUUUGGUAUAUCUAGGUAUAUGUAGGUCUAUGGUGGCCUGAAUUGGUUCCCAAUCAGAGACAGCUGUUUAUCGUUGUCUCUGAUUGGGGAUCCUAUUUAGAUUGCCAUUUUCCACUUUGGUUUUGUGGGUUAUUGUCUAUGUGUAGUUGCCUGUCAGUACUCGUGUCGCAUAGCUUCACGUUCAUUUUGUUGUUUUGUAUAGUUUGUUCAGUGUUUAUUCUUCAUUAAAGGAAGUAUGUAUUCUUAUCACGCUGCUUCUUGGUCUUCUCGUUAUGACGAACGUGACACUAUGGCAUGGAGCUUAGCCAGAUAACUAACAUACAGUAGGCCAACUCAUAUUCUGAUCUCCUGAAAUACAUUUUCUUAAUAUCAUGUUUCUUUAGACCUGACUAAAAUAAAUGAUGGAUUUAUUGUGAUGGUGUAUAUUAAAUUGAUUUAUUCGACUUUUUUAAAACGUAGGUGUCCCAAAGGCAUGCAUCACUGGCUUGUAUGCAUGGAUGCCUGGAGAUGCUAAACAUGUUUAUGUUAAUUAACCGUCAAUUACCGUGAGGCCGGCUGCCAAAAUGUCAUUGCUGCUACAGCCCUAGCUGUGACAUGGAAUUUUAGGGGAGAUCAGAUGGUAGGAGGCAGCAAAUAAGAGGUCUCUUAGGGAGAGAGAAAGGACAGAAGAGGGGAAACAGUGAAAAGGACAGAGUGAGAUAGCAGUAAUGACAUUAACCUUGUAUCUUUAUUGAUCUUUUAUUUGUAGUUUUGUCUCUAUGCACAUCCACUUGACCCUGCACACUCACACACAUACUCACUCCAUCUGCUCACUCCAGUGGCGGUUAGUGCAGUUUAAGAUGAGGGAGGACAAUUGUUCUUAAUGAGCAUGGCUUUAUUUCUAUUACAACAUAUUGGAUGACUGUCAUUCAUAUUCCAUUCACCCAGUUCAAUGUAACAGCGAUAGGUUUAGGCUGCUACAUGAUACUACAAUUUUCCCUAUACCCAUAAGGUUGCUACAACCUAGCCUAUGAAUCAAAGUAUACAAUGUAGGUGCACACAGAUUGAGAGACAAAUUUGAGGUGACAGACAGUGACGUUCAAUACCGCCUUGCAUCUAGCUGAUAUAGGAUUAGUCCAACAGUUGCAAACAAGAGUUUCUAUUGGACAAAUUAAAGUAUGUUUAUCCCCGUUUUGUUCCAUUUGCUUCCGUUUAAAAACUUUUUUCAACAGAAUCGGUGGAUUGAAUACACCCAUGACCACGCGUAAACACACAGCCACGUUGUAUUCCUUCUUGCAUCCAUGCACUCUCCUCUCACGUCUUCCCUCCGCUUGUGGACUUCAAUGCACAACAAAACAGCUGUACGUGACAAGUCAAUAAAACCUUUCCAAGCCAAACCGCUACACACAGCCUACAUCGUGGUUACCAUAUUAGCUAAAGUAAUGUCAUAGUCAGCAUAGCUAAUACAACUAACGCGUUAGUAAACCCGCUACAAUUAUGCAAUAACGUUACAGUGUACAGUCAGUUAGCAGUUACACCGGUGGGCCCCGGUGGCAAUAAAUUAGUAAAACCAAAAGUUUACCUUGCCUUGGAAGAGUUCCAGUGUUGUGUUGGAUAGUCACAGCCAGCUAGCUAACAUAGCAUCCCUCUGUUUGAUCAGGCUAAACUAGCUAGCUGCAUUUGCUAGCUAAGUAAGUGAAACUGAAAAAAAUUACAAUUUCUCUAUAUUUAUAUUUCUUUCUAGCUUCUCCUUCAUUUUGGAAGAAAUUAAUUUGUUCAAAACAGUUAAACUAUUGUCUUUCACCCUCUUUGAGUCAACUACUCACCAUAUUUUAUGCACUGCAGUGCUAGCUAGCUGUAGCUUAUGCUUUCAGUACUAGAUUAAUUCUUUGAUCCUUUGAUUUGGUGGACAACAUGUCAGUUUAUGCUGCAAGAGCUCUGAUAGUUUGGAGGAUAUCCUCCGGAAGUUGACAUAAUUACUGUGUAAGUCUAUGGAAGGGGGUGAGAACUACGAGCCUCCUAGGUUUUGUAUUGAAGUCAAUGUAGCCAGAGGAGGACAGAAAGCUAGCUAUUUGGUGACGUGAUUAUAUUUAGUAUAGUUUUAUCUAAAAAGGAUAACUUUUUUAAAUGUUUUACAAUUUUUGUUUUUAUGAAAUCCACUGAGGAGGAUGAUCCUCCCCUUCCUCAUCUGAGGAGCCUCCAUUGGCUCCUUCACACAUAAUAUGCACAUACAUUACUGACUCAACACACAUAUUUGAAAACAUUUCUAAAAACCUGUUUUCGAUUUAUCAUUAUGGUAUUGUGUGUAGAUUGUUGAAGAAAAACAAUUUUAUAAAUUUGAGAAGAAGGCUGUAAUGUAGCAAAAUGUGGAAAAUGUCAAGGGGUGUGAAUACUUUCCGAAUGCACUUUACCUCCAUCACUCCAGUAUCCCUGAACAUUACGAUAUGGUUUGGAACUGACCCUGUAUAUAGUAUGCUUACCCACUUAGGCCUACUUAUUGUGUUCUUUGUGUUUCUUCUUAUUUCUCAUGUGCUUUUUUCUUGUAUUACAUUUCUAUUCAUCAUUGUAUUGUUGGAUUUUGAGUUUGCAAGAAAGGCAUUUCACUGGACUUGUGCAUGUGACAUUAAAACUUGAAACUUAAGGGGGAAUAAAUAAAUGGCUG
ensembl:lncRNA